rnacentral:rRNA from 1 species
UACGAAGGGGGCGAGCGUUGUUCGGAUUUACUGGGCGUAAAGGGCGCGUAGGCGGCACGGCAAGUCGGGAGUGAAAGCCCGGGGCUCAACCCCGGAGGGUCUUCCGAAACUGCCGAGCUAGAGUGCGGAAGAGGCAAUCGGAAUUCCCAGUGUAGCGGUGAAAUGCGUAGAUAUUGGGAAGAACACCGGAGGCGAAGGCGGGUUGCUGGGCCGACACUGACGCUGAGGCGCGAAAGCCAGGGGAGCAAACGGG